UACGGAGGAUGCGAGCGUUAUCCGGAUUUAUUGGGUUUAAAGGGUGCGUAGGCUGUGAGGUAAGUCAGCGGUGAAAUGCCCCCGCUCAACGGGGUGAAGUGCCAUUGAUACUGCCUUGCUGGAAUGCGUAUGCCGUGGGAGGAAUGUGUGGUGUAGCGGUGAAAUGCAUAGAUAUCACACAGAACACCGAUUGCGAAGGCAUCUCACGAAUCCGCGAUUGACGCUGAUGCACGAAAGCGUGGGUAUCAAACAGG
rnacentral:rRNA from 1 species